GCAAGCCACCAAUGCCACGAAGAGGACUCCAAGGUGGUAGAGUUUCUACAUCGUUAAAUGUAAAAAAUAGCAGUAAUGCAGCCAAGGUGAUGAACCAGGACACUGCUCGAAAUUCCUCUAAUCAUGAACCAUACAAGAACAAGGGAUCUCUAGAAAAUUAUUUGCCAAGUACUAAAGAUGAUCAGUCUAGAUCAAAACGAAAA